GGGGGUGAUCGGUUUCGACGUUGGUCGAUCUACCAGGGGAAGCGGGCCGAGGAUGCUGAGUUGUCUCGUUAACGCCCUCAGCAAGCCAAUAGGUGCCAAUUCCAAGCGCACCGACUUCGCCCUCGCCGCCUGAGCGAGCUCGAAGUCUGUCGACCUAGGCCUGAUCUCGUCCUAGUGCUCGGCAUCAGCUAGAGAUCUGGCUGCGCGCCGGUGUCGGGACGGCGCGUGGGACUCCUUCUCGACUGGGCCUGUCAGGGGACGUGUGCGCGCGAGCUCUGGGGCCGAGAAAAUCCUUUGCGCACUGCGCCCGGAGAAGCCCUGGUGCGUCGUCAGCGGACGCGGGUUCGAUUCCCGCCACCUCCACCA
rfam:Arsenicicoccus sp. oral taxon 190, complete genome.